GUUCCACGUCCGUGGGACAGAAAAUUUUAACAUUUUAGGACAAAAAUGCUCCUUAUCUUUUUCAAAAUUUACAACAUCAAAAUCAUAUAACAAACCCUAAAAACUAUUUCUCUUCUUCUCAGCCGCUGACCCUCUUCACCCCAUCUCUCCCCUUCGCAACCUUCCUCCUCAUCUUCUUCUCAGCCACUGACUUUCUUGCACUGGGUUCCUCGUUGGCAGUCUCCGCUGAUGCGAUAAUCAAUGGAAAAACGUCCGCACCUUUGAAGAGAGAGAGAGAGAGAGAGAGAGCAAUUGAAGGAAAAUUCUUGUCAGAGAAAAACCCAUUUCUCUGCAGUCCACCAAAAGCACUUCUCCGCUGAAGCUUCACCUUUCUGCUGAUUUUCAGCUUUCCGUUACUGUUUCUUCCGAGCACUCUUAAAGCGUCAAGGGGCUAAUGUGAAGGGUCUGUUGAAAGCUGAUCCUGUAAAAGAAGAACCUCAACUAUACAUUGAUUGCACAGGAAACUUGCAGGUGCUGUAUAUCUGUAUUUAUUGCACUUUUUGUUGUUUCUCAUAUUUUUCUGGUUCCUUUUUGGUAACCAUUCUUAUGUAGCAGUGGUAGUACUUGUUUGUUAAUUCAACUCUUUCUGGAAAUGUUUCCUUUGAACCAAGAACCUCUUUUGUUAACACAAACUCCACAAAGCUGGUUGACUGUACUCUUUUUGUCUUUCUUUUCAAAAUUGUUAAAAAGGAAGACAUAAAAGUUGUCUAUGUAUAUGAGGAAGCUAUAAAAGAAGAAGGCUUCAGAAUCAAUUCAUAAAUUGUAUGGACAUACCACUAACUUGGUUAGAAAGUCCAAUAUUUAGUUUUGAAUUCUAACUAUAAAACUAGGGGUUGUAACAUUCUACAAGAACCAUCUCUGACUCAUCACAAAUAAGGUCUCAGAGAAACAUGAACAUUCAUUUGGAAAUUCUAUGUUUUGCUUUUGUUGUAGUUCCAUAUUACUGUUGCUAUAUUUAUUCAUUAUUUAGAAAUGCUUUUUAGGUUUUGAGAAGUGAGCUAGAUAUGUGAAUAUAAACCUCAUGUCAACUUUUUUGUUAUGCAAUCAUUAUCUUAUUUGUUCUCUGUGUAAGAUCUUAUUUGUUCUCAAAAACUUAAAGGUUUGUUAUCUAUAACAUGCUUAUCAAGAGUCAACCAAAGAAAAGCAACGUGCUCAAAUUGCUCAAGGUUUCACUCGAUCAUUAAACUUAUAUAUUCAUUGCUGUUAGAUGGAUCAACGUUUGAAGAGAUUGCUAGGGCAAAGUUCCCCUAUGGUCCUCCAUAUGGACUACAUGGAUACUGGUUCCCUCCAAAUAAUCAUAGAAAUGAUGAACUAGCCAGUAACAAUGUGACAAAAUAUAUGUUCAUAUUUCUUUUCGUUUUAAGUGAGCGUUGCGAGUUAUAAACUAUAUAUAUAUAUAUUUUUUUUUUCUUUUUGUUAAACAUGUACUAUACAUAUUUGUCCCAUAAUUUGAAAGCUCAAUCAAUAUUUUUUUUAAACUGAU